rnacentral:rRNA from 1 species
GACGAACGCUGGCGGCGUGCCUAAUACAUGCAAGUCGAACGCGUUUCGAACGGGGGAGUAUCACGUAUGGAACUUCCUCAUAGCGGGGGAUAACUAUUGGAAAAGAUAGCUAAUACCGCAUACUGUGGGAUGGACCGGCGUUGUAUUAGCUAGUUGGUGAGGUAAAGGCUCACCAAGGCGACGAUACAUAGCCGACCUGAGAGGGUGAUCGGCUACACUGGGACUGAGACACGGCCCAGACUCCUACGGGAGGAAGCAGUAUGGACUGUUCGGCAAUGGACGGAAGUCUGACCGAGAAACGCCGCGGUAAUAC